CUUCCUCUCCACCCCAGCAUUAAAGAAUAUGCUGAUCAAGUUCAUCUAAGAACUUUACUUCUACUUAUUAUCUCAGCUGAUGCCUCAUCAUGAUAGGGAAGUGAUCUUGGGUUCUGAAAGCUUUGCCAGGAGAAUGCAAAUGCCCUCUCCUAUCAAGUGGAAAAGUUUUGCUUAUGGUUCUUGGGAAAGAAUAUGUUUGAUUCCUGAUAACCAGCCUAGGAAAAGAAACUGAAGCAAAGAAACACAAAGGAAUGUGAGUGAGAAUACAAAGAGAGAGAGAGAGAAUUGGGUCCAGAACUUGUGAUUCUCAGUCCAUGCUGCUCUGUGUGGAGAAAGUGAGGACAAACCAAAAUAUUUGGAUAUCUCUUUUCAGUCUGAAUAAAGGAUGAUAUGAGUCAUGACAUCCAUUAUCCCUGAAAACACAAUCCUGAAUGGAAAUAUUUCAGAAUGAUCCAAACACCUAUGCUAGACUUUUCCUGUGUAAACACUAAAAUAUUUUAUGCUCUUG